AGAAACCGCAUAAUAUGCACCUCCGCCACGUACCAUACCGUUCGUGCAAAUUGCAGAGAUCGAUAGACUUGUAAAUAUACCUACCGCAUAACUAAUAAAUAACAUCAGCAAUGUUUUAAGAACACCAGCUUCUCCAAUAAUCCAAGGAAAUCUCAAAUAAAGAAGGAUGGAGAGUACGUUUAAAGUAGUUGGAAUGAAACAACCUUCAAACGUUCCCAAUUUCACCGCUUCAUUUGGUUGUUCAUUCUCAGCAAACGUUACACUUCUAGACAACGGAGGUAAUUCAUUAAAACUAUUACUACGAUAACUUUGUUGUGGUUCUUGUAAUAAAGGUGUGGAAGACUCUAAAUUUUCCUGUGUUUCCCAAAAUCGUCUGGAUUUUCGUACUGAUAAUCUAUCUGCCAAAAAAUCAAAUACUUGACUUGAUUUAGUUAAAAGUCUUGCCAUAAUCACAAAAAAUUAUCCCCAUUAAAUAUAAAAUAAGGAAGGCAAUAAUUUUGUGGUAGGAACUGUCAAGGUUAUUAAAUACUAAAAAAAUUGGAAAUGGUAAGGAAGAGUGAGUGUAGUCAUGUAAUAGAAACAGGGGUCCCAUAGAUAUAGUAAAACCAUCAGCAGUGAUAUAAGAAAAAUUUUUUGACAAUACUUUGCAACAGAUUACUAUCAAUUCAUGAAAGUUCAUUACCAGCUUGCUUGAAAACAUCGAUGCUCGAAUACACUUACCUCAGUUAAAAAUAGGACUACUGAACACUAUGAGUGAAACGUUUUGUAGAAAGGGAGAAAUUUUACUCAAAUAAAUGGCCAUAAAUCGAAAAUCAAUGAUAUCAUAAAAUGUUUACAAUUACAAUUGCAAUUUGGGGACUAAACGGAAAAAAUAAAGAAAUAUCUAAAUAUUAGUAAUAUAAGUAGUGUAAAUUAAGGCCAAUUACAUUUCCACGUAUUAUAAUGCCAAUAUUCACUUCAUCAAAAUCACUUCUUUGGAGAUGCACUACGAAAACUUUGAAACACGUUUUUUUCUUUUGAUUCACCUUUGGCCUUACUAGGAAAAGUAGGAAAAAAUUUAGGAUCCUUGGGUCUGGGAGAUUCGUAAAAAUAAGGAUGUUCUAGUGCUUCUUUGGCAGAUAUUCUCUUCGCAGGAUUUAGACUUAAAAGUCGAUUUAAUAAAUCGUACGCGUUUCCCGUUAAAUUAGGGAUAGAAGUACGAAUCUUAGAGUGGGUAGGGACCGUAGGGUGUUUAAUUUUGUUUGCAUAAGGAAGAAGAAAAUAUUGGGGCCACUCUUCCCUAGUCGGAUAACCGAGCAAAUUGAAUAUCUUAAUAUUAUUG